CAGUCGCCGCGGUAAUACGAAGGGGGCUAGCGUUGCUCGGAAUGACUGGGCGUAAAGGGCGCGUAGGCGGCGAUCAAAGUCAGGCGUGAAAUUCCUGGGCUCAACCUGGGGGCUGCAUUUGAUACUGUUUGGCUUGAGUUCGGGAGAGGUGAGUGGAAUUCCCAGUGUAGAGGUGAAAUUCGUAGAUAUUGGGAAGAACACCAGUGGCGAAGGCGGCUCACUGGACCGACACUGACGCUGAGGCGCGAAAGCGUGGGGAGCAAACAGGAUUAGAUACCCCUGUAGUCCCUGUCUCUUAUAC
rnacentral:rRNA from 1 species